rnacentral:sRNA from 1 species
UCCAGGCACAGUGGCCUGUGCCUGUGGUCUCAGUUAGUUGGGAGGCUGAGGCAGGAGGAUCACUAGAGCUCAGGAGUCCAACGCAGCCUCAGAAACAGAGAGACCCCACCCCUA